GUUUCAACUGCCCUCGGAUAAGCUGCCUUUAUGAAUUAAGGAGCUGUCUGCAUCAAAGCGUCCUCCUCGCCCUCUGACUAAUAUGAAUGACACCGUGGUUAGCCACAUGUCCUCUGGAGUGCCCACUCCCACCAAGAGUGUUCUGGACAGUCCUAGCCGACUGGAUGAGGAACACCGUCUUAUAGCUCGCUAUGCUGCCCGGCUGGCUGCAGAAGCAGGAAACGUGACUCGUCCUCCCACUGACUUGAGCUUUAACUUUGAUGCCAACAAACAACAAAGACAGCUUAUUGCAGAACUGGAAAACAAAAACAGAGAGAUCCUGCAGGAGAUUCAGCGUCUCCGCCUGGAACAUGAGCAGGCCUCCCAGCCCACCCCUGAGAAGGCACAGCAGAACCCCACACUGCUGGCAGAGCUGCGGCUGCUGAGGCAAAGGAAGGAUGAACUGGAGCAGAGGAUGUCGGCCCUGCAGGAGAGCAGGCGGGAGCUGAUGGUCCAACUAGAAGAGCUGAUGAAGUUGCUGAAGGCUCAGGCCACAGGGUCACCACAUACAUCGCCCACCCAUGGAGG
rnacentral:sRNA from 1 species